ACCACUGCACUCCAGCCUGAG
rnacentral:miRNA from 1 species